rnacentral:rRNA from 1 species
GACGAACGCUGGCGGCGUGCUUAACACAUGCAAGUCGAACGGAAAGGCCCUGCUUGCAGGGUACUCGAGUGGCGAACGGGUGAGUAACACGUGGGUGAUCUGCCCUGCACUUCGGGAUAAGCCUGGGAAACUGGGUCUAAUACCGGAUAGGAGCCAUUUUUAGUGUGAUGGUUGGAAAGUUUUUUCGGUGUAGGAUGAGCUCGCGGCCUAUCAGCUUGUUGGUGGGGUAAUGGCCUACCAAGGCGGCGACGGGUAGCCGGCCUGAGAGGGUGGACGGCCACAGUGGGACUGAGAUACGGCCCAGACUCCUACGGGAGGCAGCAGUGGGGAAUAUUGCACAAUGGGCGCAAGCCUGAUGCAGCGACGCCGCGUGGGGGAGGACGGCCUUCGGGUUGUAAACUCCUUUCGCUAGGGACGAAGCUUUUUGUGACGGUACCUAGAGAAGAAGCACCGGCUAACUACGUG